UACGUAGGGUGCAGGCGUUAAUCGGAAUCACUGGGCGUAAAGGGCGCGUAGGCGGCCAUUCAAGUCGGGGGUGAAAGCCUGUGGCUCAACCACAGAAUUGCCUUCGAUACUGUUUGGCUUGAGUCUGGUAGAGGUUGGUGGAACUGCGAGUGUAGAGGUGAAAUUCGUAGAUAUUCGCAAGAACACCGGUGGCGAAGGCGGCCAACUGGACCAGUACUGACGCUGAGGCGCGAAAGCGUGGGGAGCAAACAGG
rnacentral:rRNA from 1 species